rnacentral:rRNA from 1 species
UACGUAGGGUGCGAGCGUUGUCCGGAAUUAUUGGGCGUAAAGAGCUCGUAGGCGGUUUGUCGCGUCGACUGUGAAAACCUACAGCUUUACUGUGGGCUUGCAGUCGAUACGGGCAGACUUGAGUUCGGUAGGGGAGACUGGAAUUCCUGGUGUAGCGGUGAAAUGCGCAGAUAUCAGGAGGAACACCGGUGGCGAAGGCGGGUCUCUGGGCCGAUACUGACGCUGAGGAGCGAAAGCGUGGGGAGCGAACAGG